rnacentral:sRNA from 1 species
CAUACCGGGCUCCACGUCUCCUGUCUUCUUUACCUGAUCCACGGGACCCCUCAUCUUUCCUGUAAGGGAGGCUCUAUUACCCCGUUUUUCAGAGAGGAGAGGCCCCGCCUCUUCCAGAACCUCCUGCUCUUCCUGUGGGCCCUGCUGAACUGUGGUUUGGGGGUCAGUGCUCAGUAGGGUCCGGGCGAGUGGACCCCAUGGGUGUCCUGGACCCGCUGCUCCAGCUCCUGCGGGCGUGGCGUCUCCGUGCGCAGCCGGCGCUGCCUCCGGCUUCCUGGGGAAGAACCGUGCUGGGGAGACUCCCACGAGUACCGCCUCUGCCAGUUGCCAGACUGCCCCCCAGGGGCUGUGCCCUUCCGAGACCUACAGUGUGCCCUGUACAAUGGCCGCCCUGUCCUGGGCACCCAGAAGACCUACCAGUGGGUGCCCUUCCAUGGGGCGCCCAACCAGUGCGACCUCAACUGCCUGGCUGAGGGGCACGCCUUCUACCACAGCUUCGGCCGCGUCCUGGACGGCACCGCCUGCAGCCCGGGUGCUCAGGGGGUCUGCGUGGCUGGCCGCUGCCUUAGCGCCGGCUGUGAUGGGUUGUUGGGCUCGGGUGCCCUCGAGGACCGCUGUGGCCGCUGCGGAGGCGCCAACGACUCGUGCCUUUUCGUGCAGCGCGUGUUUCGUGACGCCGGUGCCUUCGCUGGGUACUGGAACGUGACCCUGAUCCCCGAGGGCGCCAGACACAUCCGCGUGGAACACAGGAGCCGCAACCACCUAGCACUGAUGGGGGGCGAUGGGCGCUACGUGCUUAAUGGGGACUGGGCGGUCAGCCCACCAGGGACCUACGAGGUGGCCGGCACGCAUGUGGUCUACACCCGCGACACAGGGCCCCAGGAGACAUUGCAAGCAGCCGGGCCCACCUCCCAUGACCUGCUCCUACAGGUCCUCCUGCAGGAGCCCAACCCUGGCAUCGAGUUUGAGUUCUGGCUCCCUCGGGAGCGCUACAGCCCCUUCCAGGCUCGUGUGCAGGCCCUGGGCUGGCCCCUGAGGCAGCCGCAGCCCCGGGGGGUGGAGCCUCAGCCCCCCGCAGCCCCUGCUGUCACCCCUGCACGGACCCCAACCCUGGCCCCAGGCCCGAGUGCUGAGCCGCCACCGCCAGGCCCGGGAGACCCGCUAUGAGGUGCGUAUCCAGCUCGUCUACAAGAACCGCUCGCCACUGCGGGCACGCGAGUACGUGUGGGCGCCAGGCCACUGCCCCUGCCCGAUGCUGGCACCCCACCGGGACUACCUGAUGGCUGUCCAGCGUCUUGUCAGCCCCGACGGCACACAGGACCAGCUGCUGCUGCCCCACGCCGGCUACGCCCGGCCCUGGAGCCCUGCGGAGGACAGCCGCAUACGCCUGACUGCCCGGCGCUGUCCUGGCUGAGCCCCUGCAGGAGCCCCGGCCACACACAGCAAGAAAGAUACAUCUGACCAGCCUCAACGUCAACGUAUUUCCCCUCUCACCCUGGCUUCCAGGCAGCUCUGAAAUACGUCCCACCUGUGCAGCUAUGUGACUCCCUCCCGCACACGCU